rnacentral:lncRNA from 1 species
UCCGGCUUUAUUAAAAUCAUUUAUCCAAAGUUUAAAUGCCAAACGCAUUACAAUAAAAACCACAACCGCUUGGAGAAAAAUACACAAACACACACACACACAGAGGUAUGCGCACACACACACAUGCACACAGGUACACACACACACAGGUACACGUGCACACACACAGGUACACGUGCACACAGAGGUAUGCACGCACACAGAGGUAUGCACGCACACACACAUACAGAGGUAUGCACACACAGGUACACACACAAACAACUGGCUCCAAUGAACAGGGACCCAGGCUAGGGACCAAUUCCUGGGCUCAAACACUUCUCACGUGCCUGCAAACCAGGGGCUGCUCGUGUCUCUGGUGCGUGGGGCGGCUGAGCGGGAUCAGGGUGCAGGAAGCCUUUUCCCAGGGCUCAGACCCCCCUGCCCUCCAGCCACAGUAUUUUGGCUGUAAACCGCAGCACAGGAUCCUGAUUUACCCCCAUCCCCAUCCCCCUAACCCCAGAGUCCCAGCUGUCCCGGCUCAAUUCCCGUUCUUCCCCUCCCGGCAUUUCGGCUGCAAAAAGCCCCCUUCCCCUCCCUCAACCCCCCCACGUUUUGGUGGCAAAGGCCCAAGUAGAUCCCCGGGGGAGGGGGGACGCGAAAGCCACCAGCAGGGCCGGUCGGGGACCUGGACGGGCGAGGGGAGGGGCUCGUUUCAGAGGUGGGCUUGCCCCUCUGCCGCAUUUCCAGAUCGCCCAGGAGUGGACCAGGGAUGCCGACCCCAUUUCCCUGCCUCUCCCCAGCCCAACACAACUGCAUCCAUCCUACACCCCCAGCCUGCUCUGCCCCCUGCUGGCCCAGGGCCACCCAGAGGAUUCAGGGGGCCUGGGGCACAGCAAUUUCGGGGGCCUCUUCCAUAAAAAAAAAACUUGCAAUACUAUACAAUACUAUAUUCUCGUGAGAGCCUCUGCAGGGCCUGGGGCAAAUUGCCCCACUUGCCACCCCCCAGGCAGCCCUGAAUGCAGCAGACGAACACAACGGACCAGUCAAAACUACCCCUCCUCCACAGAAACCGUGGCUCUGGGGAAGGUGGCAACCGGGCAGUACAGCGUGUCUGCACACAGGCGCUGGCUUCCUCCUUUCCCCGGGGGUGUUCAACCCCCACUCGGCCCCAGGCUCCGCC